UACAGAGGGGGCAAGCGUUAUUCGGAAUUAUUGGGCGUAAAGCGUGCGCAGGCGGCUUUGCAAGACAGAUGUGAAAUCCCCGGGCUCAACCUGGGAACUGCAUUUGUGACUGCAUGGCUAGAGUGCGGCAGAGGGGGAUGGAAUUCCGCGUGUAGCAGUGAAAUGCGUAGAUAUGCGGAGGAACACCGAUGGCGAAGGCAAUCCCCUGGGCCUGCACUGACGCUCAUGCACGAAAGCGUGGGGAGCAAACAGG
rnacentral:rRNA from 1 species